UACGAAGGGGGCUAGCGUUGCUCGGAAUCACUGGGCGUAAAGCGCACGUAGGCGGCUUUCUAAGUCAGGGGUGAAAUCCUGGAGCUCAACUCCAGAACUGCCUUUGAUACUGGAGAGCUAGAGUCCGGAAGAGGUGAGUGGAACUGCGAGUGUAGAGGUGAAAUUCGUAGAUAUUCGCAAGAACACCAGUGGCGAAGGCGGCUCACUGGUCCGGUACUGACGCUGAAGUGCGAAAGCGUGGGGAGCAAACAGG
rnacentral:rRNA from 1 species